GGGACUCCCCAGCCUCCUUCCUGCUCCCCUUUUCCUCUCCCCCCCAUCUCCACCAGCACUCACCAAGCUGCCAUCGUGCCCACAGUUGCUGACCCCAGAGUCCAUGGCAAGUAUUCAUUCUUCAACUCUCUGUAACAUGAACCCUGACUCCUGCCGGUACCAUCUUGGGAGCUCAUCUGGGAUCCCCCACCCCCCACUGAAGUGUAAUCUCAGUUGAGGUCAUGGCCACCAGACCCGAUGGGCUCCAAUGCAGAAUUAUGACCACCAGAGGGAAGUA